GAUAAUUUGUCAGUAAAAAAAUCUGAGGUGUUUGAAAAUGUGAAUGACUCACACCAAAAGAGUCGUUCAUCAAGAAUCGAACUCACUCGAUUCAGUGUCACUGAGGAGUCGAAUCUUUAAUGCCUCGCGCUCUUCCCUUUAAAGUUGCACAUAUGACAGCGCGCGCAUGGUCCGGGCGCGUCACCGAGCAAUUAGAGGGAAGCGCGCGCGCACACGCGCACACACACACAGACACACACACACACACACUGAGCAGAGUCAGAGCCUAAAGCACACAUUUCUCUUCAUCACUCAAAGGAUUUCGGAAGUGAGGGACGCUCGCGCGCUUUCACACUAAAAACCACUGGACCAAAAAAAACCGGAGAUAUACACUGGCUCUUUUUUUUUUUUUUUUUUUUUUUUAAUGGAUCAAACGGAACACUGUGGGAUAAAGAGGUGCGGGAAAAGCCAGCACAGGUCAGAGAAAACCACAGAACCCAGAGGAAACCUGCAAGGACACGGGGAAAACAUGUAUUAUAUCUCCAUACAGACAGUAACCUGAGCUCAGGAUCAAACCAGGGGCCUGUUGCUACCUGCUGCACCACCAUGCUCCCCAUUUUGUUAUUAUUUUAAUUUGAAAACAGUGUUGCAACCUAGAUUAAAAUAGAGCUCCGAAUCUUAUAUUAUUCAGUUCUCAUUUCCAAGAGGAGGAAUGAUUCAUUUUUAGAAAAUACAAUCAUCACUCAGCCUCACAUCCUCAAAAAACAAAAGUAUAUGAACCUUAACAUCAACCCACAUAUGCUGAGUCCAGUGUGAACUGCCCUCUUUGUUUCAAAUAACGAGGGCCAAUUCAACUAAAAUUAGUUCUGGGCCAGACAAGACUAAUGGAGAUAAACAGCAGGAGAAAAAAGUCCAAGUCCACUACUGAGGGCAGCUGGAAUUCUUUAUUUAGGCUGCGUUUACAGGAAACAUUUCCAUACCCAUUGAAAACGCACCAUUUGCUGUUGAUAUUAAUGAGUUGUAACCUUGAUGGAACAAAGUAUGACAGGACCAUGCAUCAUCUCGUAGGAGAUGGUUUAGAUCAGAGAAUCAUGUUUGCAUGACCGUCCAUGUGAUUCAUGGUCAACCGCACUCCUCUCCCCUUACAAGCAUGCAAUGCAUAUCAGUGAUUUCCAAAAUGUUGGUUUUAAGCUCAUCUGAGAAUCACAGCUGAGGAACAUAGCAGGAUGAAGCUAAGCAAGAAUGAAGACAAGAAGGAGGAAACAGAAAAAAAAUGGAUGAGAUGCCACAUAUUAACAAAUUGCACUAGGACACUCGGACCUUUCUUUACAUAAUGAACAGUAUUUUCUGUAAGGAACUAUAUCUGUGUCUCGAACUGUGUUCUUCACACACUAGUGCACUAUGGAUGAUGUGCUGGAAUUGCAGAGAACUGAAGUAUGGAACACCAGAGACACUUGGAGCUCACAGUGUGCUAUAUGCACCGGAAUGAACGCAGUCAUUAAUCUGAAAUUUAGAGAAUGACACUAAUUGCUAGCUCUGUGUGUGCAGGUGACAGCAGGUAACUAAUGUUUCCUACAGCUUAAGGGUGCAUUCAUACUUUCAGUAAUAAUGCCAAGCCACUUUUUUGUGGCUUUUAUUUGUUUUAUUUAUUCUGAUAUAAAAAAGCGGCUCAUGCAACGAGCACAUUGUGACCAUAACAAUGCUCUUUUCCGGUUCUAGCUAGUACCAGCUAACUAACUAGCCUGGGCUUGUUAUAUACAGGGCGUCCCAAAAGUCUCCACACAUAGGGGAAAUUAACACUUUUUAGCAACAUGUCUUCCAAAAUUUUUCAUAAUCCAUAGUUCAUAUUUUCAGAAAAAAGUUUUUCAGAUAGCCUUUAAGAAUGCCUUUGACAAAAGAAGAAUGUAUUGAAAUCAUUCUCAUGGCUGGAUCGGGAAGCUGUCGCAAGGUUGAGAUGGAUUUUAACAGGAAACAUGGCAAGCAUGUCACACAAGACACCAACCUCGGACCAACCGAGACGUGCACGUCCACAAACAUCCACUGAUGAAGGCACAACGUAACACAUAAUCCCAUAUAUAUGGAGACUUUUGGGACACCCUGUAGAUUAGAUUUAUCAUUAUCAGUAAUAAAGAUUAAAUACAGAUUGUUUUUUUGAAGGUUGUUUUUGCUUCGCUGCAGCUUUGGAGGACUAAUUCUUCACCAGCACUUUAUUGUCCAUGUUUUUUUCCCUUGCUUGCCCCCAACUUGCAACAUGAUUGGUUGGGAGGUUUUAAAAAAAAGUGCUCGAUGUGCUCACUUUGGACUUUUCUGAAAAUUUGAACCUUGGAAGCUCUCCACUGUGACCAAAAAAAUGCAGACGGGAACGCUAUUCCCAUAAGGUUAACUGUAAAAUGGCAAUUGGGAAAACAUGCCAACACGCCCCUGCUUUGUGUGAGUGAUCCUGGAUUAACCACUGUGUAUGUGAAGUGAUAUCAAGUGUUAUUAAAACAAAGUGCUUACCAUUUAAUUUGGUGUAAAGGUUUAUUAUUUUUCAUAUUCAGAUACCCACAAAGUAACAUCAAACAGAUAGAUAGAUAGAUAGAUAGAUAGUAAUCCUGGAGGAAAAUUCACACAAUUAGUAGUGUAAUGUAUAAACAGUGUACUGUAUUUUAAAUAAUGUAUGUAAAAUGUAUGUAAUGCAUAAAAUUUGCUAUUAUUUUACAUCACAGAAAAUCCACAUAGUGUAUCACAUAUUACACUGUACUGUAAUUUAUUGGCAAAUACACACUUUAUAUAACUGAAUAAAAUGCAGUUUACGCAGUUUACAGUGCAGUCUGAAUUUAAGACUGCAAGUUUAAUAAUCAUUUAUAAAGUUGUAAACUGUAUUUUCAUGGCAAAGUCUGACUUUUGAAGGUCCAAAAAUUGAUCAACUAAUUCAGAAUGCAUAGAUAAUAAUACAUAAUAAUGAUAGUCCAUUACCAGAGUCACUUUUUCUGCUAUAAAUGGGUCACUGGGGCAUCUGGAUCCUGAAGGGGGAAGAAAAAAACCGAGAAGGUAAAAAGAGAGCUCAAGAGAAGAAAAGAAAAAAGAAAAGAAAAGAAAAGGAGAGAGACAAAAAUUAAAGCGACAGAGAAAGAAAUGGGACGAAAGAUAGAGCAAAGGAAUUUGGGUGGUGGAGGAAAAAACUCCAGACAGUAGUGGGUCUUUGAGGCUCCUGAGACUAGACUUGAUGUGGACUGCCAAACGUUCCACGGUAUAGGUUCUAGUGUGCUGUUCCCUAUGGAAGCAACCAGGUGAGAUCACAUAGGCUAUCUGUAAACAUGAAUGUCAUCAUAUCUGUUAAAAAAGAAUUAAUUAUAUCAGUCAGAAUAUUUCUUUAAAAAAAAAGUCGAUCACACAGUUUCUUGCUCUACUGUAUAUGGGUCACUGUGGCUUCUGCAUCCUGCAGCACACACUCAAAUAUAGCACAUCCUCACAGUGUGUGUGUGUGUGUGUGUGUGUGUGUGUGUGUGUGAGAGAGAGAGAGAGAGAGAGAGAGACUUGGCAAAAUAUGGACACUGGUAAAUUCAAUAACAAAAUCAAAUUCUAUUGCAUGGAUGUGAAAUUAUGACAUCACCUUUGAUUUGGCAUUUAAAAAGUGAGGAUAAAAAUGCAACUGAAACAAUAAAUUAGUACCAUAAAACAAAAUAAAUCAUACUAAUGUAAACUAAAUCAUACAGAAACAGUUAUAGAGAGGUGAGACCUACCUAUCUGCUUUACCCUUCACCAUUACAAAAUACUCUUCCUUAAUUAUAACAUUUGGAAAAAAAAAAGUAAUAACUCAACAAAUCAAAUUAAAUUGUUACCAGUUUUUAAACUGAGCCACCAAACUGUAACACUAUUUAACCUUUAAAUGUGUUCAGACACUGUCAUUUUUACAUUGACAUUUAUGGCAUUUGGCAGAUGCCCUUAUCCAGAGCGACUUAUAGAAGUGCUUUGAAGUCUCUAUCAAUAAAUACAUCCUGAUACUGGUUCACUAGGUCACGGACUAAGAAUACCAUCAGUCUAAAAAACUCUGUUAUAACUCUGUAAAAACUCUGGUAAUAUAGUAAGAAAAGCAUACAGGCAACACAAUUUUUUUUAUUAAUGUGCUAAAUUAAGUACUUCAGGAAGAAGUAGGUCUUCUGAUGUCGUUUGAAGACAGCCAGUGACUCAGCUGUUCGGACAUCUUGGGGAAGUUUAUUCCACCAUCUAGGUGCCAGAACAGAGAAGAGUCUUGAUGCAUGUCUUCCUUGUACCCUGAGGGGUGGUGGGACCAGUCAAGCAGUGCUAGAGGAUCAGAGGGAGCGUGGUGCAGUGUGGGGUGUCAUAAGUGCUUUGAGGUAAGUGGGUGCUGGUCCGUUUUUGGCUUUGUAGGCAGGCAUCAGUGUUUUAAAUCUUAUGCGGGCAACUACAGGAAGCCAGUGGAUGGAGUGUAGCAAUGGGGUGGUGUGGGAGAACUCAGGAAGGUUGAAAACAAGUUGUGCAGCUGCAUCGUGGAUCAGUUGCAGAGGUCAAUUGGUGCUUAGAGGCAGAAAUGCCAGGAGCAAGUUGCAGUAGUCCAGUACCUGCAUGACCUCAGUGGAUAGAAAUGGACGAAUGUUGUAAAGGAGAAAUCGACAUGAGCGUGUCAAGUGAGUGAUGUGAGAGGAAAAGGACAGCUGACUGUCCAUGGUUACCCCAAGUUUGUGUGUAGUAACCGAACUUGAGAUCAGAGAGUUGUCCAGGGAGAUCACAAGGUCCUGACGUGGGGAUGAAUCAUCUGGGAUGAACAGCAGUUCAGUUUUGCUGGGAUUAAGUUUCAGCUGAUGACCUGCCAUCCAUGAUGAGAUAUCUGCCACAUGCUGAGAUCUGAGCGGAAACAUGAGUGUCUGAGGGAGGGAAGGAGAGGAUGAGUUGAGUGUCAUCUGCAUAGCAGUGGUAUGAGAACCCAUGUGAGGAUAUGACCUCACCAAGAGAUUGCGUAUAGAGGGAGAACAGAAGAGGACCAAGUACUGAGCCUUGUGGGACACCAGUGGAGAGUCUGCGGGGAGCAGAUGUGUAUCCCCUCCACGUCACCUAAUAUGACCGACCUUCCAGGUAGGAAGCAAACCAUUAACAUGCCACGAAAUCCAAGACUCAUGAGGAUGGACAAGAGAGUCUUGUGGUUGACUGUGUCAGAUGCUGCUGAAAGGUCAAGGAGGAUGAGGACUGAUGACAGUUUGAUCUAGCAGCAUGUAGUUUCUCAGUGACGGCCAAAAGGGCAGUUUCUGUGAAAUGUGCCACUUUGAAGCCAAACUAGUUAGGAUUGUGGAGGCUGUUCUGUGAGAGGCAGUCGAUUGUAGACAGUGCAUUCAAGUAAUUUAGAAAGAAAUGAGAGAAGUGAUACCAGUCGGUAGUUGCGGAUGUCUGAGUGAUCCAGAGUGGGUUUCUUCAGGAUGGGAAAAACCCUUGCUCUCUUGAAUGCAGUUGGUACAUGACCAGAUGUUAUGGAGCCAUUCCUGAUAGUAGUGAUGAAGGGGAGACGGUUUUGUGAGACGGUCUGGGGCAUUGUGGAAGGGAUUGGAUCCAAUGGGCGGGUGGUAUGAUUGCAGGACAAGAUGACUUGCAGGAUCUCUUCUGUUGCUAGAUUAGAAAAAUGUGCUGGUGAAAGAGAAGGGGAAUCCUGAGUGUGUAGUGUAGGAGUUUGUUAUUUAUCAGAUGAAACGCAUUUCCUCUCUAAAUCAAUCAGAAUCUCAUAGAAACAAAAAGAACAGAAAAGAAAAGAAAAGAAACAACAAAAUUAUAUUCAGGAUGUACUUUUCUUAUACAAUUUUGUUUUAUAACACUGAUUUGUUGUAUUGUUUUUAUAUGACGUUUUUAUACGUAUACUUUGUUCAUCACAGUUACAUGACAUUAUGUAAUGACAGUAAGGCUAAUAAAGCAGCCUAAAUUAAAAAAAAAGAGAGAGAAAAUUAAAUAGGGGGCCAGUGUGAGUAGAAAGAGCUCUGUCCACUCAGAGAGGAAAAAGAGUGAGAGAGAUGAAGAGUGAGAAGGAGAAAGAGAGAAGGAUGUAGUGAUGAAUCAGGUUGCUUAAUAUAGACAAACAUUUUCAGUAUCUGUCACAGUCCCUAAAGCCAGGCAGUAAUGUGUACCAUGGGAUUAACACUCCUGUGUUUAUGAGUGCACACACACACACAUUAGUAAAAUCCUCCAGUUCUCAUCAGUGUGUGACUGUAGACUCUCUGACCUUACUGUGAGAGUAAACAGCAGUCAUGAACUAGCCAAACAUGGCUAAAGCUAAGAACUAGCACCAUACACCCAUACAUUUGGAACUGCUCCCAAUAAAGGCAUCAUGGACAGUGAUGAACUCUCAGCUGUUAGCCAGUGGGAGGAAACAAUACAGAAAGGAGCGAGAGAGAGAGAGAGAGAGAGAGAGAGAGAGAGAGAAAUGAAUUAUAGGUGUACUAUAUAACUCCGUGUACUAAAUAUAGUGCAAAAUAAUAUCGUUUACAAAGUGUUUUACACACUUCACAUUCUGUGUGCACUGCAAGAUGGCUGCUCUGGCAAGAGCUAGUGCAAUACAUUGUCCUGUGUAAAGAUUUUUUUCCUUCCCCCUCCUCUGUCUUUCCCCACUUUUGUAGAUUGUACUUUGUUUAUUGUAUUCUUAUGUACUUAUUUAUAUUCUGUUUUGGUCAUUUGUUUAAGCUAUUUGUGCAGAGUGUGUGUCUUUUAUAUAUUCUUGUUGCAUUUUAGCAAUUUACCUGAGCCUCGCCGUUGGAAUUUCAGUGUACAUAUAUCAUGACGUACUGUGCAAAUGACAAAUAAUAAGAUAAUAAUAAGAUGUCCUGAGACUCUCCAUUAUCUAAACCUUGAAGAGGGUAAAGAGAAGAAGCAAGAUAAUUAAAAUGAAAGAUAGAUAGAGAGCGUAUUUAGCUGAUUAGCAAUGCAUAUCUGUAACAGGUGCAUAAUGGAAACCCCAGCACACUCAGUUCUUAGCCACUGGCUUCAUGUCUCUUUAUCUAAUGUACACUAUAAAUCAAAAGUUUGGACAUGCUUAAUAGUAGAGAGGGUUUUUUCACUUUAUUUUCAGUAUUUUCUAUUUUUUAAAAUAAAAGUGAAGAGAUUCAUUGGAUCUGAAUGGAUGGAUCUGGGGCCUAUCCAUGGAACACUAGGUUCAAGGCAGGAAUGCACCAUGGAUGGGAUGCCAGUUCAUUACAGGUCACCAAGCAGACAUCAAAAAUAUACAAUAAAUUAUGCUGUGUCCCCAAAAAUGUAUUGAAUAAAUUAAAAUCAAACCAUGUUAUGUUUUAGAUUCUUCAAAAUUGCUAACUUUUGCUUUUGCAAACUCUUAAGAUUCUCUCAAUCAACUUCAUAAGGUUGCUUUGGAUGCCUUUCCAACAGUCUUGAAGGAGUUCGUACAUAUGUUGAGCACUUGUUGGCUGCGUUUCCUUCACUCUCUGGUCUAGUUUAAAACAGAAUUUCAUCAGGUGUGCACAAACUUUUGACUGGCAGUGCAUGGCUAAAGACUAAAGAGAAUAUAUCAUAAAGGAGGAUGAACAUGGACGAUUAUUUUGCAUACUUUUGCACUAUAUUAGCUGCUGUCGGGGUAUGCAUAAGCGUCUGACAUGUCCACACUGCGACACACUCUAAACAAAUUGAAUACAAUAAUUGAGUAAAAAGAGCUGGAUGAUGGACUAUACUUGUGUAUAGUGAUGGACCCUUUUGCACUACGGUGGUAAUUCUGCUGUGUGUUUCCUCUGUCUGUUUGCAGCACCUCAUGGUUGACAUCUCCCACCCACAGUAUGACCUUGAAGGGUCCUUGCCACUUGGCAAGUAAAUUUGAACUAGAUGGGGAGUAAUAUGAGGACUUUACACCUACUAUAGAGCCACUGUCUUCGGCCAGGGGCAGAUUUUCUUAUGAUAAGUGUGUUUUAAUCACAGGUCCAAGAGUUACUGAACAUUUUUACUGCGUGUUGGACCAUCCUUCCAGCUUUCUUUAUGUUUAACACCCCAUGGUUUCUACCCAUAUAAUAACUUAAAAGGGGAAAUUCCCAUUUAAUUAAUUAAUUAGUGUGUAAAGUGUGUAAAGCUUGUAUAUUGUACAUGACAUAAAUGAAGUGCCCUUAUCAGUUAGGAUCACUUUCAUGAUCCCAACUCGGAGAUUACAUGGAAUAGUGCCUUGACCACACUCUUGCUGAAAUUGUCCACAAAUGCACUGCUUUGGGAUACUGUGUCACAUAGUCCACAAGGACUAGCACAGUGUGAUACCUCCAUGCUGACUGGUCUAAUGGCCUAAAGGAGGGUCUCGAUUAGGGGAAGAGGGUGCAACAGUGUGUUUGGGGUGGACAGCAGAUUCAUCAACUGAUGUUUGCAGGAACCAAUGUACACCACCAAUGUACAUUACUGAUAAUAAUCACCUGAUGUACAUCAAUGUGAAUGCCCAGCCAAUAAAAAACCAGCCAUUAACCACUGUUGAGUUUUGUCAAUCAUCAGGUGCCCAGUCAUGGAGUGAGUAUAUGAGCCACAAGGAAAAACAUUAAUAGGGUCAUAGUUUUCCACACUUUGGUUGUCCUAACACACUCUGUACAGCUGUAAAGAUUGCGCCGUCAAACCUCAGUCAAACACUUCGACCACUCAUCACAGUGACCGAGUUUCUUAAGGGUUCUUAAGGGUUUCUUAAAAUAUCAUAACAUGGCUGGCCCAGAGGGAAGUCCAUGAGGGGAAUGAAGAGAGAGGAAAGGAACACCUCCCACCACCCUGCCUGGUUACGGUCACACAAGGUACCAUGAUGUACCACCACAUAGCACCUUACACUUUGGAUUUACCUAAUCCUAUGUCCACUGCUAACUGAACAAACCCUGCCCAAUCCCCAAAAUUACUGGAUAGGAAAAGUGGAGACAAACUGCCACCUUUCUUUUAUGCUUUUGGGUCAUAAAUUCAAUGUCCAGCAGCAUCAAAGAAUGUGUGUGCACAUCACCUAGCCCCCUACCUCUCAGGCCCUUUCCAAUGCCUUGUCUUGAAUCAGGCUUUGGUGGAUAAGGGUCCACCAAUGCUUAAAGUUUACAGCUCUCUGUAUGUCACUUCUGCAUUAGGGAGGGCCAUGGCACCAUGCAAAUCUAGAGUACCUGAUCCACCUCCAUUUGGGCCUAGUCCAGCCAGAAGUGCCCUGCCCAGACCUGCCAAGACCCAGUUCUACCUCACUGCCAAUCGGCUGUGGCCUCUGGGGAAGAUAGGGGAAAAGAUAAAGAAUAGGAAUGGGGAAGCAUUUGGUUUAGCAAACAUGUGGCUAUGGCUCCAGCUCUGAGGAGUCACCUUUCCUACAAGUACCUGUUGAACAAUGCCACCCUUGGUGACAGUGGUGUAAGCUGUAGUGCUGGGGUGGGUGGAGUUCUGGGGGUGAAGAAGAUGGCGUUUAGGAUCCCUGGUUACACAAAUGUGGACAUGUGGUCCUUGGCUGGUUGGAUGGCUUCAGCCAGAGUGUUGGGUUUUCUGCCUCCAAAGACCAUGUAAAGGCAAGCAGCCUCUAACACACCAUAGACAGAUUAAGUGCGGAGAAACAAAUAUAAUCUUUGUUAUUGCAAUUGGCACUACAAGAGCCCUUCUCUCAGCCACGCACACUCAUUGCUCCAAAACACCUGCAACUCAUUUUCCAGCUAAUCAAGAAUUUCUUUAUCAAAGCUGUAUUAAAAUUAUGUCCAUAUUGCUUAGUAUUUAAUAAUACAUUAUUUCAGCAAAAUAUUAUUCUACUGCUUAUUUUAACUUAUGCUUGUAUUUGAACUAUAAGUUGUGUGAUUUUUAUUUAUUUAUUCUUUACAGAAUUGUGAAUCGUGGAUUGAUGUUUACUGACACUCACUCACAGAAUCCACUGCAGCAAGCCUACACUGUGGAAGAAACAAAAGUGAAGCUAUUGCUAUGAAUCUUUUGAGACAAGCUUCAGUGGAAUUAGUUGUCAAAUACUUAAGCUACACUAUAUGGCCAAAUGUUUGUGGACAUCUGACCAUCAAAACCAUAUGUGGUUCUUCCUUUGUUGCCACUGUUGCCACAAAGUUGGAAGCAUGCAAUUAUAAAGGAUGUGUUUGUAUACAGUUUUCCUUCACUGGAACUAAGGGGACUAAACAUGUUCCAGCAUGAAAAUGCCCCUGUGCACAAAGCAAGCUCCAUGAAGACAUGGUUUGUCAAGGCUGGAGUGGAAGAACACUAGUGGCCUGCACAGAGCCCUGACCUCAACCCCACCUUUAGGAUGAACUAGAAUGCCUCCUGAGCCCCAGGCCUCCUCACCCAACAUCAGUGCCUGAACUCACUAAUGCUGGAGAGAGUGGAGGUUAUUGUAGCAGCAAAGGGGGAACUACAUCUGGAAUGGGAUGGUCCAAAAGCACAUAUGGGUGUAAUGGUCAGGUGUCCACAAACCUGUGGGCAUAUAGUGUAUUUUCACUUCUCCUGCAUGCUUCCAAUAAAGGACAUCAGGAAAUGUUCCCUGGUGCCAUUACGUUCUUUAGAAAAAAAAUGCCGUUCAGAAUUGAGUGACUGAUUUCUGCGAGGAUGCAAACCUCUGAUGCCGCUUUGACACAAGUAGGUCAAUUGCUCAACAUAAGAAAGUUGCACAGGGUGCUGCUGGAAAUUAGGGAAGACAUCAGUCUGUAUUCACUACUUUGAGAAAGGAGAAUUCCAGUCUUCUUGCUGCAACUUGCAUUUGUCAUUUCCUAAACAAUGCUGCAAAGCAUUCAAGAAACUCUCAUGAAGUUGAAUUAUUAGUUAAUAUAUACAAUGAGUUUUCUUGUAGUGCAAAACGUAAGCUGAAUGCCUGUUUUUAAUUGGGAUAUAUGGUACUGCGUCAUGUGCCCAAUAGGUGGCUUUCCCUGUUUGCAGCAGUGAAUAUGUGUUUCAUUUAAAAAGCAGAGGACAUCUGUCCAUGAAUAAUAUGGGAACUCAUAAGAAGAUGAACUGAACCCAGACAUAGAGUUUUCUAUUCAUGAGUGUUACAUCUUUGUUGUGCACGGAUAGAUUAUGGAUCAGACUACCUCUUGAAGAAUAUUUUAGUGCUCAGUCUCAGGAUGUUUUUUUAGCAUGUUAUCAGACAUUCAAGAUGGACUCAAUGUGGACUAUGUUGAAAUGGGUUUUCAUUCAGUGGAAGUCACCAAACAUCCUCAAAAUUGUUGAACAUGCUCUUGCAGUUCCUGUAAACAAUGCAUACAUGAAGCAGGUCUUCAGUACUAUGAACAAUCUUUGGAGCCAUGAAAGAAACAAACUGUCAUCAAGGCAGAAAUCUGUAUUUGAUUUAAUUGUGGAUUGUCAUGUGGUGAAUUCUACGAGCUUGUUUUGAAGAACAAGCCACUGCGUAUUUGUAUUUGAGUCAAAUACAAAGUACAGUUGGAAGAAACAUUAUGGGUGAGCCUAAUGGAAACCUUAAAUGUGUGUUAGGGCAUAGGGGUGUCGAGUUUUAGCAUGACAAGGUGGCAAUCUGACAUUGAUACCUGCUUUGCAUCCCUGGUGGUGGCACAAGAUGAAGCUCAAUGCUACGAUGUGCACUGAUAACUGCUAUAGAGAGCUAACAAUAUUUCAUCAUGUAUGGCAUGCACAGGCAAUAUGUUAGUCAUUCUCCUGCUAGUGUUGGAACAAAUCUUGUUCCUUGCAGUGGGACACCUAGGCUAGGACAUGGAGAGGCUCUUCACCAAAUUGGUUUACGCACAUGAUGACAAGUGUGCAGCACAUUCUGCUUUCCCAGACACAUUUCCGAACCCUGAACAGAGUGAGUCACACUCUCAGGAUCCUUACAGAUGCAUAAGCACCUCCAUUCAAGCUCAAAGCAGUACCUACCCACCACUAAAAGGCCUUGAAGAGUAUGCCCAUGAAGGGUGGUGGCUUGCAUUGAGGCAAUUUCCAUACAAAAAUAUUGCUGGGCAGUAAUGUUCAAUAUUUAGUGGGUCCUGAUGACAGUGUCAUAAGGACAAUCAAAUCAUGAGUUCCACUGUAGGUGUGAAGCUAGAUUCACUGAGAAUGCUAGUCACCCUAUUAAUGCAUGGGAAAUAUUAUUGUAACUGCUAAUUGGAUUCAGCCAGGUCACUAUGUGUGGCACCAGCUCCUGCUGAAGGUCCUAGGAUUGCUGAUGGCAGCCAUAGCAGCAGUUCGAAGCAACUUUCAAAAUUGGGUUAUCAGUCUUCAGCUGGACCCCAAAUACCACAGGUAGAGACAUGUCUUCAUCUCUCUGAGAGGGGCACAGGCUCUAUUUUGCAUGGCUAGACUGAAAAAGUGGUGUUCCAGACCUUGCCACUUUUGGCUAGAUGCAGGUGGACAUUUUCUCUGAUGCCAAGUCAACUCAUUGAUUGUGGUUCUCCCUAGCAGAAGCACUGGCCCAUGACUGGCCCAUGUUUUACAGAAAUUAGCAACUAGACUGUAGAGUCCCACAUGUGGCACUAAGAAAGCUAGCAAGGCCAAGUGCUUGGAACACCCUGGUAGCUUACUCCCCAAGAAGAUUAGCAAAUAAACAGAAAGAUCUAGCACCCCCAGACAGGUCACCUGUGUUUAACCCCUCUGGACAAAGUGCAGACUGACAAUUACAAACUAACAGUCCAGGAAACCUUCCUGAUUUCAAGAGCCCCUAGUACAUGGGUCUUGUAUGCCCUAAGCUUUAAGCUGUACCUUGAAUGGUGUGCACCUCACUGACUAGAUCUGAUAUACUGCUUGAUUCUUGAAAAACUUUUCCUCAGUGACUGCUUGACAGUGGCAAGUACCCAUUUACACUAAAGGUACAUGUGGGAAGAUCAUUUUACCAAAUUUUGUAACUCAAUGAAUCAACCUUGUUCCAUGAAGUUACAUGAAAGCUAACCUGCAGUGUUGACCUGCUGGCCAUCCAGUCCUCAGACCAACUGUUUCUCUGUUUCUUUUCUCUGAAAAGAAACCCUGGUCAUCACUGGGCACCAGGUUCUAAAGACUUAAAGUUGCCUCUCCCAGUAGUGUGAGAGCAGUUCAUCUCCCAACAUUUUAGCAGUCCUAAGGUGAGUUGGUUUCUCAUGACAAUGUGACAUGUUUUCCAGGUGAUUCUCACCACUUCUGGUGAUUAGUAGGGGUGAAAUAGAACACUAGUUACGCAUUCACUCUCACAUGUUCACUCAGGUUUGUUGAAGGUGGAGUGGCUGGCCACUUUAUGUCCCAGGGCGCAGUCAUGUCUAUGUUACCUUCUGGCUCUCCCUUUUAGUUAUGCUACCAUAGCUUGUCUUGCCAAAGUCCCUGCUUGCACUGUGCACACAAUGUACAUUAUCCGUAACCGUUACAUGACAAUAAACAUGACCUAAUAAAUCUGUGUUUCUCCCUCUCUCUCCCUCUCUCUCCCUCUGUCUCUCUCUCUCUGUCGAGCUACACAUGCUACUCCUGAGAUACCAGUGAUCCUGACCCCUUCUGCUCUCAGGACCUGCCUGAUCCAGCCUGAUGCCCUACUUCUGGUUGGAGUUCUCAUCUCACGGAAACCAAUCCCUGCUGUUGAGGAUAGCCCCAUAUGGACAGGCUAAAGAUACAUGAACUUACUGUGGAUGGAACCACUUAGAAACCAUGAAGAUGGCUUUGGACUGCAAUAUCCGCAAACAGUUUUGCACUUAAGUCUCCAUCACUGAACAGUUUGAUAACUUCAACAAAAUAGACUUCAUGUGAAAACUGUGAUGACUUUCGUGGUUACACAAUUUUUGAUCAUGUAGUAUACAGUUAUAGAAUGGAAAUUCGCACUGUCCGUUGUCACCCAAAUGAGGAUCCCUUUUGUUCCCUUUUGAGUCUGGUUCCUCUCAAGGUUUAUUCCUCAUAUAGUCUCAGGGAGUUUUUCCUUGCCAUUAUCACCUCUGGCUUGUUCGUUAGGGAUAAAUUUAUAAAUGUACAAAUUUAAAAUUUAUAUCCUGAAUUUAUAUUUUUCUGUAAAUCUGCUUUGUGACAAUGUUCAUUAUUAAAAGCGCUAUACAAAUAAAAUGUAAUUGAAUUGAA